CAUUUCUUCCACUAUAAUCCCUUGAAUCAACCCAUUAACCAAGCACUUCCCACCACCACCUACAUCACGCUCCGCAGCAGCAGCAGUAACAGACCUGGAUCGAAGAUCACCAUCUUCUUUCAUUGCGCCUCAUUGCCUCAUUCUCAUCUGCUCCGGGAAAUUUUGCACAGUUGGAGUUAAAAUCUCAGGGUCCCGCGUGUAAUCUUUCUCUAUUUCCUCUGAUUUCUAUGCUGAAAUCUUCUCGAAAAUAUUAGCCUCCGACAAUAGAUUAUUGGAGAAGAUCCUCUCCAAGCGGUACAGCCACCUGUCUGAGUUAUCUUCACUAAAUAUUGGUAACUUAAACUUCCUUAUUAGUCUCCAGAUGUUUCCCUCUUGAUAUUUCCUAGUUUCCCCAGUUUCUUCUGUCAUUUUGCCUCGGUCUCACUACUGCUGAUCUCCCACGGGUCCCUUGUGAACAUUAGGUGGUGACUGAACCUCCAAAACACUUCCAGAUCUAUCUCCCUCCAUAGCUUUAUUCAUGGUUGCUUUUGGAAAAAUAAGAGUUGCCAAAGUUUUCUGUGUAUCUUCCAUGGAUUGCAGCAUCUUUGUCAUGCUCUGUUUGAGGUGUUCCACUGAGAUCUCUAGGCCUGGUAAGCGUUUGAGCUCAAAUUUCAAUUCCUUUAGCGUCUUCCCCAUUACUUCCACUCUGAUUUCUAUCUUC
rnacentral:lncRNA from 1 species